UAGCCUGUAGUCUAGUGGAUAAGAUACAGGACUGGGACCCUGAGAUUGGUGGUUCAAGCCCUAGUCUAG
rnacentral:tRNA from 1 species